rnacentral:rRNA from 1 species
GACGAACGCUGGCGGCGUGCCUAAUACAUGCAAGUUGAGCGCUGAAGGUUGGUACUUGUACCAACUGGAUGAGCAGCGAACGGGUGAGUAACGCGUGGGGAAUCUGCCUUUGAGCGGGGGACAACAUUUGGAAACGAAUGCUAAUACCGCAUAAAAACUUUAAACACAAGUUUUAAGUUUGAAGGAUGCAGUUGCAUCACUCAAAGAUGAUCCCGCGUUGUAUUAGCUAGUUGGUGAGGUAAAGGCUCACCAAGGCGAUGAUACAUAGCCGACCUGAGAGGGUGAUCGGCCACAUUGGGACUGAGACACGGCCCAAACUCCUACGGGAGGCAGCAGUAGGGAAUCUUCGGCAAUGGACGAAAGUCUGACCGAGCAACGCCGCGUGAGUGAAGAAGGUUGUCGGAUCGUAAAACUCUGUUGGUAGAGAAGAACGUUGGUGAGAGUGGAAAGCUCAUCAAGUGACGGUAACUACCCAGAAAGGGACGGCUAACUACGUG